CCGUCGAUAGCUCAGUUGGUAGAAGCGGUGGACUGUAGCAUCAUAGGUCGCUGGUUCGAAUCCGGCUCGACGGA
rnacentral:tRNA from 1 species